AUUGAACGCUGGCGGCAGGCCUAACACAUGCAAGUCGAACGAGGGGCGGACGGGAGAGUAAUGGCUGGGAAACUGCCUGAUGGAGGGGGAUAACUACUGGAAACGGUAGCUAAUACCGCAUACCAUCGGAUGUGCCCAGAUGGGAUGAGAUAGUAGGUGGGGUAAAGGCUCACCUAGGCGACGAUCCCUAGCUGGUCUGAGAGGAUGACCAGCCACACUGGAACUGAGACACGGUCCAGAGUCCUACGGGAGGCAGCAGUGGUGAAUAUUGGACAAUGGGCGGAAGCCUGAUGCAGCCAUGCCGAGUGUAUGAAGAAGGCCUUCGGGUUGUAAAGUACUUUCAGCGGGGAGGCGUUACCCGCAGAAGAAGCACCGGCUAACUCCGUGCCAGCAGCCGCGGUAAUAC
rnacentral:rRNA from 1 species